CCGGCGCACGGCCGCCCGCAGCCCUGCACAGCCAAUCCGGCUGCGGAGGCCCCGGGGAGGCGAGGAGACAUUAUCAUUCUGCCCGGGAUGAAAAGAAUUGUUAUUCUCCGUUUACAAAAAUAUUUCUUGUCUUCUUGCACUUGGCAGUGGCUAGUAGCUGACGCCUGUCACGGGAUAAACUAGGGAGAUGCCCUGGGCGGGAUCUCUGAGAGCAGUAAGGAGCUGUGGGGUGGCACUUGCAGCAUCACCCGACAGAAAGGCACCCACCUCCUCCACCUUCUCGGUCUGUGUGGUGUCAGAAGGAACGGCCACACAUGCCUGACGACUUCCCAAGCCCUCAACCCCCAUCAGGUGCCUUCCUGACACCAAGCAGGAUUUCUACUUCUGCCUCCAACUCAACAGUGCUGCAGUUAUUCAGAGGCUGAGAUGACCAUUUUGGUUCUGAGGCCAUCAUUACACAGCCGUGAUGUAGAGGUGACCGUAUUGGCAGAGGCCUGAAGAACUGAUUGGGCACAAAAAGCACAAAAAAGCAGACUGGCAGGAGUUCAGCCAUAUGGUUGUGAUAAACACAGUUUCUUUCCCUGGUGCCACUGUCUCCCUAGGGUUGCUUUAUUUGGGUGGGUGAGUCAAUACUGAAAUCCUCUAUUGGAAGGAAGAAAUACAGAACAAGGAGGAACUUUCUUAAGCCAUCGCAUUUAAAAAAGAAGGCAAACAGCAUGUUACUUUGUAUAGCCUGCUCUCAAACUUGGAGAGAAAAAUUCAGAAAAAUGCAAAACCAUGAACUUUCAUUUCUCUCCACAGUUUCAUAAGGCAGUGAUAUCAUCCAACUUUUGUUGCAAUACUAACAGCCUGGUAUACAACAAAAUGUCAAGACCACUAGGAAAGUUGAAGCACAGAAGACAGCGUCCUCUUAUAAAUGGUGUUCUGUAGAUUGAGAUGCUAGGAUAGCAUCUGGCCUCAACAGCUAAAUGAGGUACAGCAGGGCAAGGCAAACCAGCUGCCAUGCUAGGCAGGGCUGAGCACUUCCGCACUUCUCUGAAAUUGAAGACAACCUUCCAAGGACGUUUGGGAAUACCAGCACUAUGCCACUACUUCAGCAGAGAAAGACUGCCCAAUGCUCACCUCCCUGAGAAGACAGGACAUGAGAAAACAACAUGGUCCACUUUUUGCUUUGCUAAGAUACAGCAGGAUUUUCCUGCAUGUGAGGAGGUAGUUUUAAAAAAGCAAGAAUAAUUUUUGUUUUUCAACCUCAGAACAGUUUUUUUUUUCUUGUUAUUCUUAAUAGAGCAGUUGCCAGACACAAAGUGAAAUAGGGAAAGGAGAAUUCAUCAGAUCCCCACUAAUGCAUUCUCUUAACAUGCAGUUAUUAAGUUAGUGGCUGCAAAAUGUAGAGAACCAGCCUCCUGCAACCACCUCCCUCCCAGAGGCUCUGGCAGAGGAAGAAGAGCCAGCAUUCCCAGCCUCCCCUUUUGAUGCAGCCUUCUGCAGAGUGUAGGUAGCACCUGUCGAAGCAAUCUAAGCCUAUCCUAUCCCAUGUGAGACAGAGGAGGAUUACUUCUCAUUCCAGGCAAGAGCUGUGAUUUGGCCGAAAGCCUUGUUUAAGCAAGUUUUGUGACUUUAUCAAGGCCACAUGGUGUUAUCAUUAACUGUGAGGUUAUCAGACUGUGCUUCCUUGAGCUAUAAGGCUGCAGCCAAGGUUAACAUACUUAGCUAGCUUGAGGUAAAUGCAGCACAGAUGCAGGAACUGACCACAGUUAUGCAAGCAAAAUACACUGACUUGUUUUUAAUUCCUUAACACAAGUCAUCACGUAGGAAGUGCCUAUCAGUUUAUUUCCAUUCACUUUCCUGUAAUAACACAUGGAAAACAAUUCAUUUGGGCUUUUAUUUCCUAUGUUUCCCCAUAAAAGCACAGUGGGCACGUAACUUUUUCUGCUUUUUUAUUUAUUUUUUCAAGCCAAACAGCUAGUCCGCCACAACAGGCAGAUAAUUGUCACCUGAAAACCUGAGCUAUGAAUCCUGAUGCUCAGGCUCACACUUGAGCUUGGCAAAGUUUCCAGCUGCUCAUAGCAAUGUGACAGAUUGAUGUGACAAUCAGUGCAAUCACAAUGUACAAGCUACUCAUCCUGCAGUUAGUCUUCAGAGGACAGACUUUGAAGCCUUUUUGGGUACUCUCUUGACUUUGACCAAGCUAUCACCCCAAUGCAAAUACGUUAUUUGGCCUUAAGAAGGGAGGAUGAUGCCAAAGAAGUGGAAGGAUAAAAUAUGGCAGUUAGACCAGUGACAAGAGCUGCAAGAAGAUCUCUAGCACCACAAGUUCCAGAAUUCCCACAGGCAAAGGAGAGCAGGUGACUAAGGUAUCCAAUUCACCUUACAGCUACUGCAUUAGAGGAUAGGGGAAGGGGGAAAUAAAUAAAAGAACUUCCUGAACUGCAGCUCACACAAGCACAUCUUUAAGUGAAUAAUCAGAUACAUCUUAGAUUAGAUACAGAAGGCAACAAGACCCUGCCCAGUGGAUUAAUUAUGAAAUGACUAACCCAGAAGAUCCACAGUCUAGCCAAAACUUGCCUGGGACAGCAGCAAAGCAGAAGAGGGGCCAGAGACCCAGCAGGCUGGUCUGUUCUGCCUGUGCAGGUCUCCACACACCCAAGAGUGAGUGUCUGAAAGAAGAGCUGCCUUCACUUUUCACUCCCUCCCUCUGAAAUGGAAGAUGCAUGUACAAUUGAAGCCAGUCUUCCAAAAGAUACUGUUUCAUGGAGACAAAAGUCUGGUUACCAGUAUAAUGUCAAAAUCAUACAAAUUGGGCUAAAAACGUACAGCUCUGUCCUCCUAAGUGUUUAGGGACUGCUAUUCUGCACGUGCAAUAACUUUACAAAGCAGUAUUGCAUUCAGGGAUUUCAUGAAAUGUCACGUAGAUAUUUAAAUUUUAUGGUGAACUUUCGUGGAAUACCUUAUCAUCAUUAGCUGUGUAAGACACAUGCAUGCACAUAAUUUCCAGUGAUCACAUUUCCCAUUGAGACUUUCAGCUUAAGUAAUCAAGGCAGACACCGUUUGCCACAGUCCAUGUAGAUCAACUAAUUUAAAGAGAGAGCUUGCUGCAGCUUGAGUCAUGCAAAACCUAAGAUGUAUUCCAUAAAUUAUCUAAUGCUACUGUGAAUGCAGUCGUUGUGCAGCUUCCAGCACCAGCAGAGGCACUAUCCAUUUAACAUUACACUAUGGGAUGCAAAUUUAAACAUGCAGCUGCCUCUCAUAGUUACUCCUGCCAACCAAGCAAGGCUGUUCAGCAAUGUGCCUGCAGCACGGUGUUGUGAUGCAGGUGCUCUCUGCUUCUUCCUGCCCCAUCCACACCUCCAACUGAGCCUUUUAACUAGCUCCUCUGACAAUCACACCGAUUUAGUUAUUUUUUAAAUGCUGGGAUUUAACACUGAUAGCACUAGACAGCACUAGUAACUUUACAGAACUGGGAAGUGAUUUCAGUAAGAGACCGGGAAUGUAGGUUGCUAGUCCAGCUGUUGAACUGUCUGAAUACACAGAUCAGUUUUGCUUUUGUUUCUAAGCAAGUGUUUGUGAUCUUCUGAUGAAAAGCACUGUAGAAGUUUCUAAAAAUACCAUGUUGCCAAACAGCCUUUCCCCUUUCUCUUCCAAUCUCUUUAGGCUGCUUUUUGUCAUCAGCCUGCAAAAUUACACAAAUCAGUCAGCCCAGUCCUACUUAAAUGAUUCAUAAAUCCAAUUAUGUCCGCUUCUUUAUAUAGCGAGCUAGGCCCUAACAGACUCAACCUUCAGGAUUAGAGGAUGUGUAGGUAGCUGACCUCUGACUCUCUAACUGCUCAGGGCAUAUAUAUGGUUCAAACACACAGUUCUACACUGCAGCGAAGGCACAUGAACGGUACAGUAAUCUUAAUCUGUCUUGGAGGGACUGGAAAAGCCACAGAUGCUGUCUUCACAGCUGUUACUGUGUGCAGAUGUAAAUCCAAUGGAGGACCACCAAGAUGGUGGGGACUGGAGCACUGACCCUGCAGCAGGAGGGUUGUUCAGCCUGGAGAAAGGAUAGCUGCAGGGGAACCUAACAGCAGCUCAUCAACAUUUAUAAGAGAAGACCAAGGAGAUGCAAGACAGUGUCUUAAUGUAGUGCACAGCAGGAGAACGGGAGUGUGGACAAAUGCUCAAACAAAAGAGGUGCAGAAUGGAUGUAAGGAGAACUACUUUUUUCUUUUUUUCCCCAUGGAAACAGCCAAGUCAAGGAUCCAGAGAAGCUCUGCUGUCUCUGACCUUGGAGCUUUCUGAACCCUAGCUGGGUAAAGGCCCAAGCAACCCAGUGACCUUGGGAUGGUGAAGAGGCUGGGCUAGAAACCUCCUCAGGUUCCUUUCCACAUGAAUGAUUCCAUCAUUCCUGAGCUACCACAUGACUCAAGUGCUAGUGCCAGCUUAAAGCAGGGCACCACAUUCAUCGUCUUGUCCCUUGUCUCUGCUUCCAAAGUACAGCUUGUGAUACAAUGCAAAAAGAUUUUGAUAUGCAGCUUGUAGGGUCUGUAACAUUGCCCUGUAAGGAUGCACAAACAUACGUGCUUUCCAUAUCUAAAAGCAGUAAUUCCCAGUUUGUUAAUUUAGAAAGCAAAGGUUUCCCUGUAAGAAACACAGCCCAGCAUAAACAUAUCCAAGAAUUCACAUCUAUUUUUUCUGAGGUAAUAACCAGCACAAACCUCUUUAUGGCUCACCUGACCACAUCCUUUCACCUUUAGAAGGGAUUUUAUUUCUUUUUUAAUACAACCUAGACAUUCAGAUUGAGAUAUUUCACAAAAGAUGUUGUUAGAUUUGGAGUGUGAAGCCGCACACUUCUAGGCUAAUUAAUUUCGUAUUCGCAGAAGUAGAGAAAAGUAUAUUGUGACAGAUGUUAUAUGAUGAACAACUUAGGAAGAGCACUCCAGAAAUUAAUAGUAGGAAAGACCGUAACAUAUGGCAUAUUUUCCUCAAUAGUUUUGAAUCUUUUUGGUCAUCAAGUCUACUAGAUCUCACACAAAGAUUUCAGAGGUUUGUCCUGCUGAAAAGAAGCAAGACACUGCUUGUUUCAUGCUGCUACAUCUUUGCAAAGAAUGUGUGAAUUAGUAUAUAGAUUAACAUAAAGAUAGGUAGCAUCUCUAUGCCUUUUCCCUUUAUUUUUUGAUAAACAAAAUAAAAAACAAAACAGCACCACAAGAACAAGCUGAGGUGUUUGAUAACCAGCAGUAAGAAAAAAUGAUAGUGGAGAGAAUAAAGAAAUACAGCCUCUAUCUAUCCUAAACAUGUUUAUUCUAAGUACAUCUGCAAUGUUUUAAACUGCACGGCAGUACCUUGAAAAGUACAUUGAUAACCAAAUGUAAUAGUGGGACAUAAUUUAGAAUGUGAGACAGGGAUUUAGCAAGGACUCUACCUGAAAUCUUUUCUCCCAUGAUAAAGUCAAUUCACCAGCAGAGUAAGUAAAAUUAAAACACCUUCCUCUAGCACACACACUUCCACAUCUAUUAGUUUUAUAAGCUAUAAAAGUUUAUUUUAGAAAAAAAGUAUUUUAAACAAAUCCCAACAAGUUUGUACUAUUUUUCUCCUCAAAUAUCAUACAGAAGUCAUUAUCAGCACUCGAAAGGACCUCUUCCUCACACUGAACUUGUUCAUUUUAUGCAAGAUCGAUACGUGCACAAUCUGGUUGAAUAUUUAUUUUGCUUAUAUCUCAGUCAUUCCUCUCUCCUUUGUGUUUCUUCACUGCUCCUUGAAAAGCAGUGAAACAAUCUUCUGCUUUUAGCAAUUUAUUUGCCCUCCCUCCCUACAAGCCAAGCCCUUACAACAUCAAAAACUUUACCACGAUAAUCAAUUCUUACAAAUUAAUUAAGAUAGCAUAGUAAAGAAAAGCAAAGAUCCCAUCCUCAUGGAGAUCAUUGCACUUAUUUAGAACAUACAAAAGAAUACGGAUAAUGCACAAAAUGUAACAUAUGCAGAACAUUCUUUUGCUUUUUUCCUAAUACAGAGGUUAAUUUAAAAAACAAAGCUCCAGAUAGCAGUUCUUCAGCCAAGUUAGUCCUUCAGAGCACUAAAACUCUGCUUCAAAGUUCUGACCCUGCCUAUCUUAUUUAUACUGGCAAUCUUCCUGCUGAAGAGUUCGUUAAGAAACAAAACAGUUCUGCAGCCUUAUUCAGUAAUAGCAGGGCCCCAGCUUAGGGUACUCUACCUACUUCUGGGUGCUCCUUUUCAGGAAAGAUUGAAAUUGGCUGCUCAGAGUGCGGGGGAGAAUAGAGAGCUGAGCCAUCAGAGAGAAAGCAGAUGGACACAGUCACCUUAAUCAUUCACUUGCCAGUCUCACAGUUCUUGGUAGGUCUCAAACUGGGUGGCUGGACAUAACUUCUGAAGCACCUUUUUCUAGUGCAUAAGUGACCCUGGAAUUCUUCUCUGAGUUGGGCUUGCUAGCAUCCAAAUUCCCUGAUGUAAGGUUUGCAUACCACACAACACGAAGGUUUUUCAUCUUGAGGAAGUAUUGCUAGAGAAGUCUCUUAGAGAGCCCAACUGGGACGUUGGGGCCUAUCUACACUUCACUGUCAUUAUCACAUAUUUUCUGCCACACAGAUUCCUAUGAAAACAGGGCUUGCUUGCUUGUUAUUUUACAUAAUGAUAUCUUAUUUUUUUCUUGGUCUUUCUAUCUUCAGAGCCUUAUUAGCUUUGGUUAAAUAUCAGGGUUGCUCCGAAAAUACUGCCUCCUGUUUGAUUAUGUAGGACCACAAUGUCAGAGGUGGAUGUAGGUGGUAUGGCAGUGGAGGUUGGCCUUUCCCACCAGCAUUCCAUUACAUGUUGUUGAGUGUGACAGAUGGCAGCAGAGGGGCACUCUGACAGAAUAAUGUCUGACACAGAAGUGCAGAUGAGGCAAAAGUCUGUCACUGAAUUCCUCCAUGCAGAAAAAAAUGGCACCCAUUACAUUCAUUGACACUUGCUGAAUGUCUAUGGAGACCAAACAGUGGAUGUAAGCACAGUGAAGCAGUGGACAAGACAAACCAUAUUGUGGCCAUGCAGAUUUUUAUGAGCAUGGCAUGCAGGCUCUUGCUCAUUGCCGGCAAAAACGCAUGGCUGAUGGUGGUGAUUAUGUUGAAAAAUAGUGUUUUGUAUUUACUCCAUCAAACAGUGUUAUCUUGUUCUUUGUGUAGUUUCCAUGGUAAUAAAUAGAAGGCAUAAUUUUCAAAGCAGCCUAUGUAAAUCAAAAUUAGACAGGGUAACUGAUGUCCACAUCUCCAAAUGCUAAACCACCUAUAGCUAACCAUCUCUCAACAAUGAAAGGUAAGUCAAUUUUUAGUUUUGCAAUACCAGCAUAAAGAUCAUUAGCUCUCUUAAAAUUGUUAUCUGCUAAUGACUUAGAAAGAACAAAGCAUGCUGUUCACAUUCUCUCUGAAAGCACUUGAGAAAAGGUUUCAAUUGCAAGGUUAAGACACCAAAAGGAUUAUAUUUACCUUAAUGAUGUACUAUACAAAAAUAUGCAGCAAAACAACUCUCUCCGUGUGUGGCUAUUUUGUUUCUCAGGACUCAGUACUGAGUCACUAAGCAAUUCCCAUUAAUACUACCCUUUGUGCUCAAAGUAAUUUAUUUAUUCCCAAACACAUGCUGAAUAUUUAUAUUUGCUGAAGACACCACCAUAGAGUAAAUCCAUUCUUCACCAAUGUUUAGCAAAGAGACAAACUAGCCCAGGCCUGUGCAUGAUUAUUUGCAUAAUUUUAGCACAGUGUUCAGUUCACUGCACAAGGCUGUCCUCUUCAGUCCUGUUAUACAUCAUCAAGUUCUCAGUAAAUGUGACUUAGAAUGAACACAUGCAAUAGAGAAAUCCAGAAGAACUAGUUCUGUUUCAGUGUAUUACUCUGUUGAUGGCAGCUUCAUAAAACCUUUUAAAAACAUAGCUAAAAGAAUGAACAGUAUAAACAGCACACAACAAAAAAACAUCGUUUCAAACUAAUGAGUGGUUCUAGCCAACAUAACUUGACCAGUACCUUGUGAGGAAUGUUGAUUUUUGAGAGCUUUGGUCUGUUUGCAGUGAAAUACUUUGGGCGUGACGUAUAGCUGUGCUCCCAGUUCCACUCACAAGGAGACGGCAGGGCAGUAGUUUGUUCCCUGAAAAACAAAGUCUCAUUUUAGUUAUGUACAGUCACAAGAGAGUGAUUGAAAGCCUGGGACAUCUAGGUCCUUAAGAUAAAGAAGAUAUAAAAUGUGUUUUCCUGGUUAGUUUGGCAUGCUUUAGCUUCACUAGCAGUCAGGUUGAAACAGUCCUCAAAUAAAGGAGAUAUCCACCAAUAUACACACUUGCAACAGCACUACAAACUUGAAGUCAAGCACUGUCCCUCAUCAAGCAACCACACAGACCUGCACAUAAGGAACAAGGCAUUUUUUGCAAGCAGAACAAGGUACAGACAAGAAGCACGUUAAUUUUCCAUUUGUUGCUCUUGUACUCCCCACAAGGCAUUUUGGCUUUUAAUUUCGACUUAGUCUGAUUGUACAGUUAAACUAGUAACAGCAUUCUAUCUUGAUCAUAACCUCAGUAGGAACAAAUACAUGUAUUUCAGUUACUUCAACUGCUAAUUUAACAGCUCCACCUGCCAGCUGCAACCGCACUGCCUGCUCCUUCCCUGCUUAGGACUGCUUAGCAGGCCUCCAUUAACAUCCCUUUGCACAAGCAGUAUUUUCACUGCCAUUCAGCAUCUCUGUUAGAGUGCUCCUUCUCUCCCCACCCCUUGUCGUAGCCCUUCAUUAUCUUAUGUAGGAGAGCAGAAAAAUGAAUGGUUUGACUACAGUGAAGGGCAAACUCUUAACAGAAACACAAAAUCAAUGGUUAGAAUAUUUGCCCCCUCACUACCUCGAUUGUCUCAAAGGGCAGCUUUCCAAAGUGUCCCCCUUUCAAAGAUACAGUCAGACUUCCCUAGAGAAGUAGUGCAAGCAUGGUGGUUGAUUGGUUGACUUUUUUUUUUUUCUUUACAUAGUUUCUAUGGGGUUUUUAGGUUAAUAAUCCCUAGCUACUUCUGGAUAGCAGGAAAGCCACAAGAAAGAAACACUGAAAUCAUUCUGCAGAACUUCCCCAAAUAUCUACAAGCCUACCUACUUUAUUGAUGUGUUUUGCCUCGCUCUUCCCACGCGUACAAUCAAAAUGAGCUUCCAAGUUCAAAAAAGGACGCUUUAAACUUCUCUGAAUCUUUUUAAAAACACAUUCGGUCUCAUUAACUUCUUGAAAGCCUCACAAGUGCAAGCACCUGCGCAGUUCAUGCUGUGAAGAUAAAAUGUAAUUUUCCCUCUCUGCUGACUAUUCCAGCACGAAAGCACUUUUCUCAAAAAUCAAACACUACUUUUUUUAACAAGGUAGGAUUUCUGAAGUCACAGAACAAAACAGUGCUUAAUAUGGACUUCUAUUAUCAACAAAGAGCAACAAGAUAUACAUAUACAAACAUCAACUUCAGUAUUACAGUCCUCAUAGUUCAGGCUGUAUGCAGAAUACUACUCUUUUGGAAGCGGCAGAAAAGUUUCACAAGGAAGCUGAAACCACAUCACCAUUAAUGUCAUAAUCUGACACCAUGCAAGGAUGUCAAAAAUUAUGAAAAUCCACCUGUCACAGAAAUCACAUCACUAUUCCAAGUAAAAAUGGAAAUAGGAAAACAUAUUUUCUAAUGCCCUUGAUAUGGAAAUGCAAAUAAUUGCCUUAGCAAAAUAAUACAUUUUCCUUUCACAACUUUCAGGUAAUAGUAUUGGAGUUGGUACCAUACUCUAAUGCUAAUUUUUAUCUCAGGAAAUAAUUAAGGGCAGAAAAGGAAGAAAUUAGGAAUGCACCUGAAUUUGCACAGUGAGCAGUCAUCAGACGGGGACCUCUACACCUAACAUUCAGUAUUAGCUUUUGGAAACUGUUUUAUGAUGUAAAUUUACACACACACACACACACACGUUUAAAAUGCUUAUUUUGACAUUUUCCUGAUGUGAACCUGACAGAAGUUGAGUGAUAAGCUGAUGUUAACAAACUGGUUAUUGAUUUGCUUAUUCCUGUUGCACAGAAUAAGCUGUCCGUAACUAUGAGAAGAUCAGUGUUUCUUUUCUCUCUUGAACUUAUUUUACACUGCAGCAAUUAUUGGUUACCAGUCCUUAGCUCCCUGAAACGUUCAAUGAAAAGCAGGAUCCCUACCUUAAUACAAUGACAACAGCUUUUCCGCUUUUGUGAAGCAGCCAGAAUAGCAAAUCCAGAUGUAAUCCAAAUACAUCUUAAACAGCUUGGAAUUCCAAGUGUAUGCAACAAUUGUAUCAACUAAAUCUCUGUGAAAGGAGGGAGAUGCCUGAUUAAGAACACAGGAAGCGGUCUCUUUUAUACUGAUACUCAGUGCUAGAUGAAAACUAAGCAUCCACAUGCUUGAGUCACACAACAAAAAAAUAAUGGAAGCUGCAGUUAGCUGGUUUCAUUUUUGGACUGCUUGUUUCAAGCUGCAUCUCUGGCCAAACAAGCCUCCCUGAAAACAAAGAGGAAUUCGGCAAGAAUAUACCAGCGCUUUCCAAUGCAAUUCCUCAUUGCAUGAAGAGCAAUCAUACAAGCCUUUUGUCAACAUAUAAAGAGCAGCUGCAAAAUUCAAAGAGAUUGGCUUGUAGAUAACAUACUCAAACAAUCAAAGGAAGUCACAGUCUAGGACACUACACUGUGCUAUGUCCAAAUACACUGUGCUAAGAAUCCCUUUUAACAGGCAAAGUUUAGAAACAGCAACAACAACCCCAACUACUCUUCAGUACAGUAUCAGAAACAUAGGAAGAACUUGCAGAAUUAAUGCUGGAGACAGACUGCACUGAAGGUACGAAAAAAAGAUUACCUGUUUGAAAAACACACUUCUUUCCUAACGAAAGGUUUUCAAAUUGCAAGUAUUUCUCCUCAGCACCAAGAAAACAUUGGAAGUGAUAUCUAAACUGCCCAAAAAUGGCAUGGAAAAACUUUCCCUUACUCGGCUUGUGACGGAAUUAAGAAAGCUGAAGACUCCAUCAGGACACCUACUAGUCAUUCUGUUGUACCUCACACAAUGCCAGAAGCCACUUAGUAUAACAAAACUGUUUAAGCUAUGAGGUAGGUGGCCCCAGGUAGUACCUACAAAGGUGGAGAUGAUGCAGAAGUUGAAAUAAUAAUGAUGUGUCAGAAACACUGCAGCACCUUCAAACCACAGUAGACUUACCUGAUUACAGAAAGACCAACUAAGGAACUGCUUUAAUGCCAUUCAGACCCCAACAUGGUGAAUAUAAAUCUUUAAUAUAUAAUUUUACGUACAUUACUACACAGGUGCCUAAUAUUUAUAUGGAAAUACUAAAAGAACAGGUGGGACAGGAGGUCCUUCUAAAGCCUUAAGCUACAACUCCUGUACAUAGUAUAGCUUAGUUAUUCUCUAUUAUUACUGGGCACAUCUGUAUUUCUGUUGGGGUGACUUCAUAUCGCACUUAUAAACUUCUAAGACGAAACACAUAAUUUUUCAUUAUUUAUAUUGUAAAAGAUUCAGCUCAGUGACAACUUCUUUGUAUAACAAUUGCCAGGUCCUUUGCUACUUACACUCCUGCAUUACCCACACUUAGUGUUAAACAUUUAGUGUUAAACAAAUGUGUAGGUUAUGUUCACACAAACACACACACACACACACACACACACAGAAACAGAACUACUGCUAACUAACACUAAUAGGCAACCUGUGGGACUGGUCCUGGAAGAGCAAAACAAAAUUAAGUGUUUCUUAAAUUGAAGGAGUACCACUACAAAUAACCAGCAGAGGGAAACUUUCAGUUUUCACCUACCUAGUUGCUUGCUUACUUAUAAGGAAUACAGAGUGAAAGUCUGCAGAGUACUAAGAAAAGUAAUUAACACAUGAAACACGCAGAAAUUAAAUUAAGAAAUGAAUUGCUUCUGCAGGUCCAAAAAAGCACUUAACUACAACAACAAACAUCUGUAUAGAAAGUAUUAAGAAGCUUAAGAAAGUGAAGUACUACUAGAAGUCUUUAAGCACAGCUGACGUCAUUAAGCUUGCAUACAUCUUAACUUCUGAUAGCACUGGAGGUCUACUGCAAAAGCAGUACUAACCAGGACAAGAUAGGAAGUAGGCAGUUUUUUUUGAUAAUUCUACUUUGCUGAGAACCUUCUAACUGCAAUAGUCUAUGUUAAUGCCCAAUUUUACUAAAUAUAAAAAUGUUUUGAUAAAAUCCAAUCUUCCUUCAGUUUUGUUAUCAACAUUGUUAUCACUACAAUUUCUUCCCAAAACUUUCGGUUCUUCUUUCUGUUCUCUGUAGUGCUUUUUUAACCUUAAAGUUUUCCCUCAUAGAUCUAAAGAACAGAUCUUUCUUAGAAAAGUUUCCCCAAAGUGCUUUUCACAUAUAGUGUCCUAAGCAAAGUCUGAAAACCAUUCAGUGCACCUCUAGUCUACCUUCUGUUUCUCUAGGGAAAGACGAAUUAUUCUAACUGAGCACGUGCCCUGCAUCUAGCCUCGUCCAGACAGAUCACAACCAAACUCAUGCAAGAAGCAUAAAUUACAUAAAUUCCAAGGACUGCUUCUGGCUAUCUAGAGCCAGUAAGGGCUGACACAGUUUAUCAACUUCCUUCAACUUUAUUUGAAACAGGAAUUCAAAGCUACUAUAGUACACCCAUUGUUAACAAAGGUCUACUUUUGCAGAGCAAACAAAAGAUACUUUCACCCAUUGUGUCCUGCUGAGGAAUGUCAUCCACUCCCCUUCUUCCAACUUUGUACUGUUCCAGGAAGAAAUAAUGAGUUUUAUUGAAAGGACACAACACAAUGUUCCUAACUGGGUACAUACAUACAAGUGAGCAAACUUCAUCUAAGAACUAAGCUGUUAAAAAUAAGGAUUUAUAUCAGCUUUAUGAACUUGUGGCCCUCAGCCACAACAGGUAUGAUCAAGAAGCCACCUAGAAGUUCAGCUAAAAAGAUUACCUGGUUACUCAAUAUAUUUGCACGCUGCCAACCUUCUCCCCAUGGAUUCCACACUCACUGCUACUCAGUUCACAAGAUUAAGAAUACCCAGUAACACAUAUUUCUAACAAAUGGAUAUAGCGCAGUGUGUCAACAUAUCAAGGCUUGGAACAUUUGCCACAGUCUUAUCAAGAUAGACUACCUAUAGGGAAAGAGGACCUGUGAAAACUGUUAGGUUCUCCUAAAUUUGUUUCAAGUCUUCCAUUCUCUUCUGUGCUUCCUGAGUUGAAACCAAAAAGUCUGGGGGGAGUGAUUUCAACCUUUCAAGAGCAAUUCAGAAGUCAGCACAUUUUCAUUCACACUCUAAAAAUUUUAGACUCAGCUGCUGUGGAAAGCAAGAUGUGUUUCAGGGAGAGGGGAAAAAAUGACAAAAAUUCCUUUCUGCACUGAAGAAACAUUUGUAAGAUCAAAGCAAAAGCUUCCUUUGAUUCUAACCCUUGACAGAUGAAAACAGGAGUCAUACUCUCUUAACAGGGUAUAGAGCAUGCUUCUUGUAGAAACUGAUGACAGAAGCAUGGUCACAUCUUCAGCCACUUCAGACUCAAUUCCAAAAGAGACCACAACUGCCCAGUGUAGAAAAAAAAUUACUUUCAGUCUUUGGAAAGUGAGAAUCCUUCUUUCCUCAUCUCUCAACAACAAAAAUCUCUCCUACACCUACAGAGCAAAGAAUUCCGUCUUGGAGCGAGCAAAAAAAAUCAAAGGUCUUCUCCUACACGUUUAUUCUUGUGUGAGGAGAAUAAAAACAGCUGACAAUCGUUAACCUGCAGAGCACAUGUGUUUUGUUUGGACCAUACGGACAAGAGCAGUAUGGGAAACAAUCAGUGCCUAUAUAAAGCUACAAACAGUCUUGAGGCAAAGGAGCAUCAAGGUUCGGAUUUUGGGGAGUGAGGGGGCAAUUUCACAGAAAGAGGAGGGCUCGGAAACUUCUUUCACACAGCUUCGGUGAUUGAAACUGCUUUUGGCCCCUCCCUAGAGAGCAUCCCUCGCCCGAACAGCCCAUAUGUUCCGGGAGAUUCUCAGAAUCAGCUUAUACAGAGUUGUGCUAAGGAGGCUAGAGACACCAGUGGUCAAAUCUGCUGGCUAUUAAGCAGAGCUAGAUGAUGAAGCAGAUGUUAGAACUGAGAGAGCAAGCUGGACUACAGACAGUCUUGCUGUCAACAGCGACAUUCAGGGGAGAUUUAUCGUUUUUCUCUAGUAAUUUCCCUCAAAAAAAAAAAAAUAGGCUGAACAAACACAAGCAGCUUUGGUCAACACGGUCAGGAACUACUGAGCUCAGUUUAUCAGCACAGCGGUGGCUGAUGUUACAGAAUUAGUUUGGUGUGACAGAAUAAUAACGGAAAGAUUUAGUGAGAAGUGUCACUGAGCCAAUGUGAGGAAAAACAUAAGUCCAAAAUACCUGACCUCGUGCAUCGCUCAAUGGAAGCACAGCCACCCCCAAGCUGUGAUCCUGCAUCUGCUAUUUCAUGCGUAUGGAGACCACACGUGAGACAAGAUGCAUACUGGUAAGAAACAAAUUUCUCAGAAGCAGCUCUUAAUUGGUGGGGCAAAAGAUGCAAUGACAACGGAACAGAAAGGAACAAUCGGAACAAAACGAGGUUGUCAGAUAGGCUUCUGCCUUUUUCUUCACAUGCUUCUUACUGACCCCAAUAUCACAUCACGCAGCAUUUUUGCCUCAUGAUGUUAUACAUGUGGAAAUACAGCCCUAAUGAGUUUCAUCCUCCCCACAGCUCCAGAUUAGGAACUGCUGUUAUCUCUGUAGUUCCGACACUCCGAUACACAAUGACAACCUGACCUAAAUUCAGGAAGCCUUGGGUAGCUCGUGUUUCCUAAAACAAAACAUGCAGCUCAUGAAUAUACAGCAGGGUAGAUGGAAUACAAGAUAACAGACAGAGCUCCCACAGCUCCCCGAUUCUCCAAGCGCAGAUCAUAAACACUGUAAGUAAAUUCACAGCUGCAAGAGAGUCAUCUAAUGCCGGACAGAAAGGAGUCGGCACACUCUGCGUCCUCACUCGAAACAGAAACCUAACCCGAUUUAAAACAAAAACACUAAAAAACAACCCAAGUGUAACAGCUUAAGUAGUGAAGUGAGCUGCAGUGGUCCUCACAGCUGCGCAAAGCUGCUCCAUUCCCACACUACGAGCAGUGCCUGCGUUAAUUAUGCAACAUCUAAAACAAACGUAACCUCAGCUUUGACUGUUAAAUGCAGGCUUUGUUUUGGAAACAAACAAGUAAAUAAAAUAAAUAAAUUGCAGCAAGCAAUAAAUCGUGAUUUAUCUAUUCACCAAAACAAACAAACAAACAAAAAAAACCAAAAACCACCAAAAAACUUCCUAAAGCAUGACGUAGCUGUAGGGAUAGCCUCAGUACUGGUAAAAAACCACUGUUAAUGGACAAGAGGAAGCUCUGCAGAGUCCGGGGACAAGAAGCAAGCAUGUGUUAGAAGGCAGAACAUGUAUGAAUUCAGACAGUUGAGAAGAGCACACCAGGGUUCCACAGCUCUGUUCUGACAAAAGCAUUAGGGACAGAAAUCCAAGUAGAAGCGGAAGACUUAAAUGCAUCCCUGGGAAUUCCCAAACAAUUCAAAGUAUGUGGCCAUGGGGCUGAAACCAAACCUUCACUGUGACAGAUGACGCGAACCGACGUCACUGUGGCCAUGAAAACCACCAACACCCACUGUGGUGUGGCCGCCCUUCGGGCAGCUUCCCUCUCCCAGGCAUUCCCCACUACGAAGCAAGACCCACGUUAGAACACAGACCUAGAAACCAUCCCCUGCAGCCUCACUGCCACACAUGUUUGCUUGGCAAUUCAAUGGUCUCAUUUGUGAGAAGCCCUCUGAAGUUGGCAGUUCCCUGUAAUUUGCUGGUUAGGAUUCACAGGCCUUAUCGCAGCUGAUAUCAGUGAUCAGUGUCUGUUUAAUGCAUUCUUUUCCCCUUCCCCUCCUCCCUCCCCCCCCCCCCCCCUCCCCCAAUAAAUGCAUGUUUUCAUACCUGUUU